AUUACCACAACAAGUUAACAGUUGCUCGAAGCAGUGCAAAAUGUCUUCACCAAUAAACCCAUGUCUGAAAAAUACAUGACGGGUAAAAAAAAUAAACAUGCCUUUGGUGGUUCAAGCUUUUUUGAAAUAAUAAGAGAUGCUAUAGCUACAAGUCACAAAUGUGCAACAUGGACAACAAUAUGGAACUAGUGUGCAAUAUACCUAAAAUACGCCCUGAAAUAUCGGGAAUGUGUCUAGCAAAAGGUCUAACAUUUUAAAUAAAAUUAAGUAUUCAGUUUGUGUUUGUUUGAAAUUGUAAGAUGCAUAUGUGAGCAACA